rnacentral:rRNA from 1 species
GAUGAACGCUGGCGGCGUGCCUAAUACAUGCAAGUCGAGCGAACGGACGAGAAGCUUGCUUCUCUGAUGUUAGCGGCGGACGGGUGAGUAACACGUGGAUAACCUACCUAUAAGACUGGGAUAACUUCGGGAAACCGGAGCUAAUACCGGAUAAUAUUUUGAACCGCAUGGUUCAAAAGUGAAAGACGGUCUUGCUGUCACUUAUAGAUGGAUCCGCGCUGCAUUAGCUAGUUGGUAAGGUAACGGCUUACCAAGGCAACGAUGCAUAGCCGACCUGAGAGGGUGAUCGGCCACACUUGAACUGAGACACGGUCCAGACUCCUACGGGAGGCAGCAGUAGGGAAUCUUCCGCAAUGGGCGAAAGCCUGACGGAGCAACGCCGCGUGAGUGAUGAAGGUCUUCGGAUCGUAAAACUCUGUUAUUAGGGAAGUACAUAUGUGUAAGUAACUGUGCACAUCUUGACGGUACCUAAUCAGAAAGCCACGGCGAACUACGU